rnacentral:rRNA from 1 species
UACGUAGGGUGCGAGCGUUGCCCGGAUUUAUUGGGCGUAAAGGGCGCGCAGGCGGCUACGCACGUCCGUUGUGAAAUCGCUCGGCUCAACUGGGCGGGGUCAGCGGAUACGGCGUAGCUGGAGCAAGCUAGGGGGCAAUGGAAUUCCCGGUGUAGUGGUGGAAUGCGUAGAUAUCAGGAGGAACACCUGCGGUGUAGACGGCUUACUGGACCAUAACUGACGCUGAGGCACGAAAGCGUGGGGAGCAAACAGG